rnacentral:rRNA from 1 species
UGGGGAAUAUUGCACAAUGGAGGGAACUCUGAUGCAGCAACGCCGCGUGCGGGAUGACGGCCUUCGGGUUGUAAACCGCUUUCAGCCAUGACGAAGCUUUUGUGACGGUAGUGGUAGAAGAAGCACCGGCUAACUACGUGCCAGCAGCCGCGGUGAUACGUAGGGUGCGAGCGUUGUCCGGAAUUAUUGGGCGUAAAGAGCUUGUAGGCGGUUUGUCGCGUCGAUAGUGUAAACACGCAGCUUAACUGUGUGCCUGCUGUCGAUACGGGCUGACUAGAGGAGGGUAGGGGGGAAUGGAAUUCCCGGUGGGGCGGUGGAAUGCGCAGAUAUCGGGAGGAACACCAGUGGCGAAGGCGGGUCUCUGGACCUUUCCUGACGCUGAGAAGCGAAAGCGUGGGUAGCAAACAGG